CCUACGGGAGGCAGCAGUAGGGAAUCUUCCACAAUGGGCGAAACCCUGAUGGAGCAACGCCGCGUGGGUGAAGAAGGUCUUCGGAUUGUAAAACCCUGUUGUCAGAGAAGAAAGUGGGUGAGAGUAACUGUUCACGUUUCGACGGUAUCUAACCAGAAAGCCACGGCUAACUACGUGCCAGCAGCCGGGGUAAUACGUAGGUGGCAAGCGUUAUCCGGAUUUAUUGGGCGUAAAGGGAACGCAGGCGGUCUUUUAAGUCUGAUGUGAAAGCCUUGGGCUUAACCGGAGUAGUGCAUUGGAAACUGGGAGACUGGAGUGCAGAAGAGGAGAGUGGAACUCCAGGUGUAGCGGUGAAAUGCGUAGAUAUAUGGAAGAACACCAGUGGCGAAGGCGGCCCUCUGGUCUGUAACUGACGCUGAGGUUCGAAAGCGUGGGGAGCAAACAGGAUUAGAUACCCUAGUAGUC
rnacentral:rRNA from 1 species